GGUCUUAUAUUCAUUAUAUGAUUAUAAAAUGCAAUUUUCUAGGUGUAAUUAAUUUACUGAGGCUU
rnacentral:tRNA from 1 species